CUGACGGAUCAUGUUCAGCAUACGUUCAUUUACGGGGUCCAACUGGCUGAUGAUAGCAGGUUGUUUGGUUACUUCAACAACCAAAGCCUCCAUGGCUGCCCGGAGACCAGUGAUACAGGCAGCAGCUUCAUGAGAUAUUUGCAGUUUAAUCCAGUCAUCUACAAGCACAAUCUGCCCAUCAGAUUGGACUUUCUUGGAGGCAAAGAGAAGCAACUGCAGGGGGGUGACUAAAGUCAUGC
rnacentral:lncRNA from 1 species